UGUGUGUGUGUGUGUAUGUUGUGUGUUUUAAAGGUUCCUUUGAACUGCCUUUGUGCUGAGUCGGCGCUGCUUUUUGCCAAUGCAAGUCACGGUCAUACGAACUUUGUGUUAACCUCUUAUGUCGAAUGAAUCUUUUCAUUUGGAAACCCAUAAAUCUCAUUCCGUAGCUCCUUUUGUGCGGCACGCUACGACUUAGUAAACAAGAGUGCGUCGAACAACAACUAAAAACAAAAACAGAAAAAAAGUUGUAACCGAUAAUAAGUACAACUUAAAAAAUGAGAUUCCUGUGUAAAGUGCGGAACUGGCUGUUCACAAGAGGAACGUGGAAGCGAACGGAAUGGAUACGAAGCUCAGCACUCACAACCACAAUUUCGAUGCUACUGAGAGAGAAGUUCACACCUUGAGUUACUACACCCUUACUUCGUUGGUUAAAGCAGCACUUCUGGAAUAAAAGGAGAACUCUUCAUCAAUGAUUGUCCUCGGAUGUUCCUACACUUGUUCACAGCAAACGGGAGCAGAACUGACACCAAAAGCGAAUUCUACCCGUGGUUCGGCUGGCUUUAUAAUCCGGUGGCUAGUGUUGAUGACAUCACACGGUGCCCAGUGCCGGGAACAUCCAGUUGCUUGCAACUGUCAUUUAAUGUUGCGAGCAAAUGAAAAAUGAAUGUGAGACUCACUGGCUCCCAGAAGUGACCUUGGGUAUUAUUAGAAUGACCUCCCAUCGGCUUGACCAGAAGACCUUUGAUAUCUGCAUGAAGAAAACAUACGAGUGAGAUGCUUCGUCUACCAAAUGAAAGAACAAUAAUCAUCGGGAAUAGCACAAAUCUCACGCUAAGCUAUAAGCUUAGUGCUAUCAACAUUAAAAUGUGAUCAAUGCACUCAAUUUGCAUCUCUUCCCGUUGCUUUGAGAAUGUUGUUCUUUAUUACGUCAUGGGCUCGUUAGUUUCAUUUAAAAAGCCAUGUAUAUCUUAUGUAUCGUCUCUGUCAGUUGGAAGUGAAUCCGAUGGUCGAUAGAGCUUAACUCCUGUCAAAGAGCAUUCUAUUACAGGUUAUGACAGGCUAGAGAGAGACAGGAAGAACUCAAGGAAAACAACAAGCGGAAUCCCCCGUUUAGUACUGUCCGUUUAGUAAGCAGUUCAAGCUUUACUGAUGAUCUAAAAAUAUAAGUAAUCAGAAUUCCUUGAUGUAAUCAGCUUUUCUCCACUCAAUCACGCAGUGCAUCCUAUCCCUAAACAAAUUCUAAACACUACCCUGCUUUAAUCAGCUCACACACUCGAAGCACGCUCCAUGACUAAUACGAUAUCCUCAAAACAAAUUAAUGAGGACUGAUUACGGGAAAGAAGGUUAGCUCCCGGCUCUGUUUUCACCCCCUGCAUCGUUCAUCUCUCUCCGUCAGUCUUUUCGUCCCUCUUCGUCACAUUUCAUCCUUUAUCUUUCCCCCUCUUUUCCCGAUUCCACCUCCCGUCUGCUGGUCUUCUUCAAUUGAUCCCCACCCCACUCUACACAGUUGUACCCUUCUCCUUCCCUCAGCCAGAAUAACUGUGACCUAAACCCAUUUAAAGGGGAAUGUUACACCUUCGUCACUUUGCUUCUCUUUCAAAUGAACGUUCACAUCAACUAAUAAAAAUGAAUUUGACGUGUUCCUGUAUGUUGUCAACACAGAACUUCCGGUUACAUAGUGUACCUGUCCGGUAUAUUUCCCAUAAGCCAAUUAGUGCCAGAAACAUUCAGCGGAUAUUCAACUUUAUCUACAAUCUCUAUCAACACUGUCUAGCGGAACAGUCCACGAGAUAACGUUUUGAUAUAGCCUGGUAUAAUUUCAAAAUCAGAACACCCUCCAGUAAAAUCUAAUUUAAUUAAAUCCUAAAACUAAUCACAUGAAAAGGGCGUUGUAUACAAAUAUUUAAUAUACUGGACGAAAAUGCAAUACCUUAUUCUUCCGUACUUGCAACCCCUCCCAACACUAAGUAAGCUGCCCAUUUCAUUUCCAAGCAAUUGUGAAAUUAAUAGCAAUAUUGCCAUGCGCAUGUAUGAACAGAGGAGUACAUGAGAUGAGCUAAGGUCUUUCCCUCAAACACUACCGUCAAAAUGAUAAAACGCGUUCAUUCCAAACGGACUACUGAUACAGCGAGGUUGGGAACUUGCUGCAUGGUAUGUUAUUAGAACGGAGAGAAAGAUAUUUCAAAGGCUGUCGAUAUUCCCAAUGACCUUUCCAUGAAAAAAUUGCUACCUAAAUUAAAAAGAAAGUAUUAUUUUGCAGCACAACUUCCAUUAUUUAAGCUUCACGGAAAAUGGCAAAACUAGCAGAUCUUCAUAUUUCAGAAAAAAAAACCGUGUUUACGGCUGAAGGCCAUUGUCAUUGUAAAAUGUAUCACCUAAUUUCUAAGGGCGAUUAACGACUGAACCAAAGGAAGGAACGUAAAUUGUUACAAAGUAUUUACAUUAAUCGGAAUUAAAUGGAUGCCACUUUUUUUUUAAA